rnacentral:rRNA from 1 species
UACGAAGGGGGCUAGUGUUGUUCGGAAUCACUGGGCGUAAAGGGCGCGUAGGCGGCCGAUCAAGUCGGGGGUGAAAGCCUGUGGCUUAACCACAGAAUGGCCUUCGAUACUGUUUGGCUUGAGACCGGAAGAGGUUAGUGGAACUGCGAGUGUAGAGGUGAAAUUCGUAGAUAUUCGCAAGAACACCAGUGGCGAAGGCGGCUGACUGGUCCGGUUCUGACGCUGAGGCGCGAAAGCGUGGGGAGCAAACAGGG